rnacentral:sRNA from 1 species
UUCUAGCCCCGAACGCAGCGGCAUCCCUGAAGCGUAGCGCAAGAAUACAGCGCAGCACGGGAACAAAC